rnacentral:rRNA from 1 species
AGAACGAACGCUGGCGGCAUGCCUAACACAUGCAAGUCGAACGUGAUCCAUGACUUCGGUUGUGGUGAAAGUGGCAAACGGGUGAGUAACGCGUGGGAAUCUGCCCAGAGGUAGGGAAUAACCGCGGGAAACUGCGGCUAAUACCCUAUGUGCCCUACGGGGCAAAGAUUUAUCGCCUUUGGAGGAGCCCGCGUCGGAUUAGGUAGUUGGUAGGGUAACGGCCUACCAAGCCUACGAUCCGUAGCUGGUCUGAGAGGAUGAUCAGCCACACUGGGACUGAGAUACGGCCCAGACUCCUACGGGAGGCAGCAGUGGGGAAUAUUGGACAAUGGGGGCAACCCUGAUCCAGCAAUGCCGCGUGAGUGAUGAAGGCCUUCGGGUUGUAAAGCUCUUUCGGCGGGAAGAUGAUGACGGUACCCGCAGAAGAAGCCCCGGCUAACUUCGCGCCAGCAGCCGC